rnacentral:lncRNA from 1 species
CACAUCGGAAUCAGACACACAACCAUUUGCUGUAUCAUACCUCGUCAACAAAUUUGGUUUCUCACAUGAAUCGGCUCUCAAAGCUUUCAACAACAGACAGGUUCGUUUCAAUACCCCAGAUAAUCCUGAUUCUGUUAUCACCUUCUUUCAAAACCAUGGCUUUUCACACGAUAACAUACGCAUCAUCAUCACAAAAGCACCAUGGUUACUUUCAUCACAACCCCACAAAAUGGUAUUGCCAAAGUUUCAAUUUUUACUCUCCAAAGGUGCUUCUUCCUCUGAUAUUAUUCGCCUGUUAACUGCAAAUCCUAAAAUUUUACAAAGUAGUUUGGAGAAACGAAUAAUCCCUCUUUUUCAAUUGUUAAAUAGGUUUUCGAAAACCAACAAGGAUACCAUUGUUUGCUUAAUUCGAAAUUCACUAUCGUUUAUUAUUUAUCCCUAUCAUGUUCUAGAGGCUAAUAUCAAUUUGAUGAUUGAAUUUGGAGUUUCUGAUUCUAACAUUGCUAGAUUGCUUCAAACAAGGUCAUCUAUAUUUGGUUCAACUGAUUUGAUUAAGUCAUUAGAGGAAGUUAAGUGUUUAGGGUUUCAUCCUUCAAAGACUACUUUUGGGGCUGCUUUGAUAGCCAAGAAAUGUAGUAAAAAACUUUGGGAUGAGAAAGUUGAUGUCUUUAAGAAAUGGGGCUGGUCUGAUGAAGUUGUCAUCCGAGUAUUUAGGUUUCAGCCUAAUUUAUUGGGUGCUUCCAAUGGUAAGAUUAAUUUGUUGAUGAAUUUUUGGGUCAAUCAAUUGGGUUGGGAUUCCUUGGCACUUACUAAAUGUCCACUUAUGUUUGGUUAUAGUUUACAUAAAAGGAUCAUUCCAAGGGCCUCAGUUUUGCAAUUUCUUUUGAUGAAAGGUUUGCGAAAAAAGAAUGCAAGCUUAGUUACACCAUUUACUUAUUCCGAGAAAUUGUUCUUGAGCAAGUGUGUUUUAUGCUUUAAGGAGGAGUCUGAUUAUCUAUUAAAGCUAUAUGAGGAAAAAAUGAAAUUUGCACACACAAUGGAAAACGAUGGCAUGGCAUUCACUACAACAACAACAACCAAGCCUUAUCCCACUAAAAGGGGUCGGCAAUGGCAUGGCAUUCACUAAUUAGGCAGUUUCAUAAUCUUCUCUUGAAAUGCAACCUUAGCUUGUCAGUCCAUACCACCACUUCACACUCAUUCACUGUGUCUUAUCUCAUCGACAAAUUCGGGUUCUCGCUUAAAUUCGCACAAAGCUUUCAAAUUCGGAUUCUCGCCUAAAUUCGCACUCAAAGCUUCCAAACAACUUUGUUUCAAAGGAUCAUUCCAAGAGCAGCUGUUGUGCAAUUUCUUCUGAAUAAAGGUUUGAGAAAUAAGAAUGCAAGCUUAACUUGUCCUUUUGUAAUGUUUGAGAAGUUGUUCGUGAUAUGUUAAUCAAAGGUAUUAAGAAGGAGUAUUCCUAUCUAUUAAAGUUGUAUGAGGAAAAACUCAACCUUGCAUACACCAGGGACAAAAUAUGUAUGUCACAAUUAGAUUUUAAGGUAUGUCUUCGUAUGUUAUUCCAUAUUCUAUUUGAAAUUUAUUUUGUAAUUACUGUGAUUCGAGCUAGUUUAGCUUUGCUUACUUGGACAUAUGUUCUUUUUUUUUUACUGAUAUUUUUCAAAAUCCUAUUGUUUAUCAGUCUUAAAUCGAAUAAUUUGCCUGUACUGUCAAAGUUGAAUUUUCUUGCAUUUAUGGGCAUGUAGUACUAUUUUUGUGUCAUUCUCCUUUCAUGUUGGUUUUGUCCAAUAAUCUAUUGCAUAAACUCAGCUAUACCAGAUUAUGUUUUUGAACUUAAAGUGGCUUUAGGUUUUAGCUGUAAUUGUAAUUUCUUUGCAAAUACCAAAAGUCCAAAUAGUCAUGGAUAAAUACAGCCGUAAUUAUGGUAGCUGUGCAAUUGUGAAGACCUUUCAUUCACCGGUACUGAAGCUGCGUUUGUGUUUGGCUACAAUUAUUUAAAUUUAAAAUACUUAACAUUUAGCAACUUAGCAUUAUGCCAUAUAUAGUCUUAUAUGGAGGUACUUUAUUUUCCUCAAUGACUUUUGGAUAUUCUAAUUGCCCUGAAUGCUGCCCAGCCCUUUCUUGGUGAUGACUGUGAAUAAUAUCAGUUAAGCUCUGCUUAUCCUACAUAUGAUAUUGAUUCUACAUAUGUUUGUAUAGAAGCAGAGGUGUAUAGGUUUUCCAAUGUUUGAGCCCACAAUAGCAAAAGAAAGCAAAUGUAAUGAACUGUUUAACCAUGUCAUAUUAUGUGUAAUAACUGUUUACAAUAGUGAAGCUACAAUUAUUGUUGUGGGCUACGGUUAUGUACAAUACUUGGCAGUUAGCCUUAUGCCAUAGUCAUAUCAGGUCUAACAUAGCACUUGAUUUUGUCUCAUAUUAUUGUCUGUACUUUGGCUAGCUAAAAUGGAUAGUGGAGUCAAGUUCAAAUAUCCAAGGUUAUUUAUUUAUUUACUUACCUUUUAAAAUUACAGUAUGUUUUAAAUUCCUCCUUCAUUGCAGUCUACCCUCUCUACCUAAUAGUGGCAUUUGAGUUGUAUUCAUUGCAGCCUCCAAUACCUUCAUUGUGAUGGGUGUAAAGGGCUGGAUUUAAUCCCACAUUGCAUAGAUAUAUGGCCUAUGAGGUGUUUAUUUUGAGGAGAUGUUUCACUUAGUUGCUUUUGAAUAUUGUCUAUUGUCUUGGACACUUAUAACCUAGUAUUAAGGAAGAUUUUAACUUACCUCUUAUUUUGUUUACCACUCACACUUUUUCACUCUGAAAUGGGAAGAUUUUUUGUAGUAUAUCACCUAUAAGGAAGAAGCGUUCGUUUAACUGGAAAGGAUGUGGAACAAAACUUUGUUGUGUUUUAGUGUAUGUAUGAAAUUAGCUUCUUUGCAACGAAAAGUAUCAUUAUGUUCUUUAUUAUUUUUUAAGUGUUUAACAUUGGAUAAAAGAUGAUGAACAUGUGUUUAUAAGUGGGGGCAAUGUUUGCUCAACCACAAUUUCCAUUAUAGUAAUUGUUAUUGUAGAUAUUUAUAAAUUCCCUUUUCUUUUGGCGGAGGAUAUUGAUAAAUAUGCAGUCUUUUAUUUUGGGUUUUUGAGUAAUGGUGGUGUUUGCCAAAGUUUUAUGUAACUGAAUUCACAUGCAUCCAUCCUUUUUAAGUAAAUUUUGGUGUAUACUUUUAUGCCAUAUUAUUUUAUUUUGAGAUGGAGUGCAAGGACAAUGCUGUCAAGAGUAUCAAUUUAGUUUUUUUUUUUUAGAGGACAAAAAAAAUAUAUUAAUGGACAUGGGUACAAAUUUAAUGGCAUUCUUGCCCGUUGAUAUUUAUAUUCGCUAUUAAACUAAAUAAACUACAUAAAUAUUCUUAUAUAAAUAUAAAAGAUUAAAAACCCCUUCAACAUCGGUCAACAAAAUAGGAACUUUAAUAAUCCCUCCGUCUCUAAAAAAUAGUCGUUUAAAGUUUAUGCAAGGUUAUUAAGGAAAUGAUUUUUUGUGUUGAUUUCAAUGGUAAAAUUAAUAUCAUUUACUAAAAUAUCCUUAUUAAUUGUAGUUAGUGGAGUAGUUAAGUUAGAUGAAAUUCAAUUAAUAAGGAUAUAAUAAUGGAAAAUAAUAAUAAAUGUUGCAUUGAUAUUCUAAAGUGACAAUUAUUUUGAGAAAAAGAAAAAGUGUUAAAGAGACAAUUAUUAUGAGACGGAGGGAGUAUUAUAUAAGAAUAUUGUUAUGUAUCAAUAUUAUUAUGUUUUGGUGAAGAAAAUGAAUGUGAUUAAUUUUUGUUGUUAAAUUUUAGGUGGUUAAAAAAUUUAACAAAAAUAUUUUUAUUUAUUUAUAAAUGUUAUCCAUAAAUAUUUGUAUAUACGGAUGGAUAUCUCAAAAUCGUAGGAUUGUCUGCUUUAUCAACAUGUAAAUGAAGCGCAUAUGGAUAUCAUAUUUAUCCAAUAAAAUGAAGACAUAGAUAUCAUUUGCUGAUUUACAUCCCUUCUAACUUUUUAUACUUGUAUGUGAGUUUUCAAUAUUAUUAUCAUUAGGUAUAUUUAAAAUAAAAAAAAACUAAACCCAAUUGUUAAGAAAUGGGUAGUAGUGUUGAUUUUACUAGUAUAAAAUGUGUUUCAUUUACUAAAAACAUCUUAAUUAAUUAUAGUUAGUAAAGUAGUUAAAUAAUUGAAAUGUAAUAAGCAAUGAUAUGUUACUGAAAAAUAAUAAAUAUCGUAUUACCAUUAUAAAAUAAAAAAAUAUUUGAGAAAAAAAUAGAAAACAUGACAUAAUUUGAGAGACGGAGGACUAUCUUUUCUUUCAAAGGUAAUAGUCAUUUUGAUCCUUGAAUGUGUAAUGAAUAGUUACAAUAUUCUUUCAACGUAUAAAAUUUUAUAAUAAUUCCUAAUUGUAUACUCGGAUAAUCAAAAUAGUUUUGACGCUAAAAUAAUCUCUUAAUACCUAUAAUAACUAUUUUUAUAUAAAGAUUGAAAUGACAAUAAAUUAGUACUUGUAAGUACUAAUGUUACGAUAUAUUGAACGAUUGGUACGAUAAUAUUAACAAACACAUUUUAAAGCAUCUUCUUCACAAAAUGGCAAUGCUUAUAAUACGACUGUAAGAGUGUAAGAGAGUAUGAGAAACCAGUUGAAAUGAGCUAAACCAUCAUCUUCUUCACAAAAUGGCAAUGCUUCGUUACAUUAUCUUCAAUUACCAUCAUUACAGAGCAUUUAUCUCCAAUAACCCCCACAAAUCAAUCCCUCUUUUCCCAUUCCAAUUUUCCCACAAUUUCACUACUUCCCAAUCAGACUCAUUCACCGUCUCUUACCUCAUUAACACAAUUGGUUUCCCUCGUGAAGCAGCUCUCAAAGCUUCAAAACGACUUCGUUUCAACUCUCCACAAAAACCCAAUUCAGUUUUCAAUUUCUUCACAAACCUAGGUUUUUCAGAUUCCAAUAUACGCAGCAUUAUCAUAAAACAACCACGCCUUCUUUCCUCAGAUACCCACAAUUCAAUUCUUCCAAAGUUUCAAUUUUUUCUAUCCAAAGGUGCUUCAUCUUCUGAAAUCGCUUGUUUGUUAGCAGCGAAUCCCAGAAUUUUACAGAAUAGUUUGGAGAAUAGAAUAAUUCCUCUUUUUGAAUUUUAUAAGAGGUUUUUUAAAUCUGAUAAAGCUACAAUUUGCUGCAUCAUUCGAAAUUUGAUAUCUUUGCCUUACAAUCUUACUACUGUUAAUGUUAAGUUAUUGAUUGAUUAUGGAGUUUGUGAUUCCGCUAUUGCUAGAUUGCUUUUGACAAGACCAGCUAUACUUGGAUCAAUUGAUUUCAUUAGUACUUUGGAGGAAGUUAAGGGUUUAGGGUUUCACCUUUCAACUUCAACUUUUGGGGCAGCUUUGGUUGCAAAGAAAUGUAUGAGUAAAACACUUUGGGAUGAGAAAGUUGAUGUUUUUAAGAAAUGGGGUUGGACUGAUGAAGAUGUUAUUCGAGCAUUUAGAGGUCGUCCUGAAUUGUUGUUGACUUCAAUUGAUAAGAUUAAUUUGGUGAUCAGUUUUUGGGUUAAUCAAUUGGGUUGGAAUUCCUUGGCACUUUCUAAAAGGCCACGUAUUUUUAGUUACAGUUUGCAUAAAAGGAUUGUUCCAAGGGCAUUGGUUCUGCAGUAUCUUGUGAUGAAAGGUUUGAGGAAAAAGAAUGCAAGCUUGGUUGAACCGUUUGCUCCGUCUAAGGAAAUGUUCCUAAGAAAAUAUGUUCUCAGUUUUAAGGAGGAUUCUGAUUAUUUAUUAAAGCUUUAUGAGGAAAACGUAAAUCUUGCAUCCACCAAGGAGAACAUUGACAUGCCAUUCACCAAAUAGGUGACUUCAUAAUCUUGUUUUUGUAAUGUAACAUUAGCUUGUUAGUUCUUAAAUUUUAAGUGCUUAUUCUUUCAAGGCAUUAUAUCUAGUAGAUGUAAGAAAGCUCAAAAUGUUCUUGCAUUUGAUCGGGGAAUGUUUUCUCAUGGUGUUAGUUCUCCUUCCAUAUUUGUUCAGUCAAGAAUCCUUAGUAGUAUAAACAAACUAUGUAAGCCGAGCAGGUGUGCUCAGAUUCGUGAUUAAAGCUUUAAUUGUCUUUUUAAGCAAAGUUUAAUUUUUAAGGGAGUUUCUAUUACUCAUAUAAUGUUAUUGAACAAUUUUGCGGCCUUUUUUAAUUUUGACUAGCAGUGUGGUUCAGUGUGUUCUUUCCUUUUCUCAAAUUAUCAUACUUCUGGGAAUGCGUUGUAAAAAGGGAAGGGAUAUAUUUCUUAGAAGGCUUUUCCAGGUUUUAGCGUGCCUUUUCUGAUGCUUGAUUGUAGGGUAAUGAGUGAAUAAGUAAGCAAAAACACUGUGUGAUGAGAAAAUUGAUGCCUAUAUAAUAGUUAGGGGUAGUCCAAACACAACAUUUUAAAAUAAUUUAGGAGGUGUUCAAUUGAAAAUCAUUAUAGUUUAGAGGCAAAUGACACUGAUAAUCUGAUAUUGACAUACAGUUCAUCUGAUGAUGUUAUGGAAUGAUAUAACAUCAAUUUUUUUAAACUGACUAGUCUAUUAUAUUCCAUUCCACUCUAUUCCAUCCUAUAACAACAAACCAAACAUACCCUAGAUAUUCUUUGAAGAAAAGGAUCAUUGAAUUGAAGGGGUUCAGUGUUGUGCUCUGCUUGUUUCUUCUCUCGAAGGUCAAAUAAACCACAGUGCAAUCCCAAUUACAACAUGUGUUCUAUAGAGGCUUUUCCUUGAAAAAUUCAGUCUGAUGUUGAGUUGAAAACAUUGCUGAAAUAAACAGGGACUCUGGUGGUAUUUGACUGUCAUUAAACAUUCACGAUAUAAAUUAAAGUUGUUUAGAUUCGAGUUAUAUGUAGUCUUUUUUUGUAUGCAGUCACUGCAGUUGGAUCAAUUUGCUGAAUGCAUCUAAUGUUCCAAAUUGGAAAGAAAAAAAAAACCAGUCUUUCUUGAUCCAAUUUUUCGAUACUGUCGUAACAAAAGCUGCUAUGUAGCACUGGUGGUGUUGGAUCCGAGGUCCAUGACAUCCUGUGGUCAUGGAGAAGGCGAUCGUGGUGGAAACCUAACCAAGUAUCGUGUGACAAUGAUUUAUGGCUCCGCCAUCAGCAAUGUUCAUCACAAGGGUGGAUGCUACACAACAAAGAUAUCCAACAUAAAAAACUACAUCUUGGUGCCCGGAUAAAAAUAAAACUCAUUAGCAUUGCACGCUGUAAAACUCGAUGGGAUUUUUUUCUUCCAUUCAUUAAUCCAAAUGAUGGCACCUUAUCAGAGAGAGUUCUAAUACAUCUGAAUUUGAUAUUAAGACCAUUCUGCUAUGCAACACCUGCUCCAUUGUAAUGACAGAAUUGCAAAAUUUCUAUGCAACAGUUUUGCAAAUCUGAGUUGAACACACAAAUAUGAAUAUGUUCACUUCUCAAUUUGUUUGAACUUCAUUAAGGCUAGAAAAUAACAUUUUUGUAAAUCUGGUCUAACAUCAUAGAAUAUUAUAAAAACUUCCUUAACAAAAAUUUAAUUUGUUUUUAACCCAACAUAAAUUGAAUAACAAUUUUUUAAAUGUUGGAAUCCAAGAUAAAAGCAACGAAAAUCUAAAUAUAGAAAUUAAAUUUUGAGCUCAUUUUUUUAAAGAGUUUUUAUAAUAUUCUAAAUAUGUGUAUAAACAAUCAUGUGUUGAAUCCCUUCCAAAAACAAAAAUCGUAUGUUGACUCAACAUGGGUUAAAACUACUUGCAAGAUACUCCCUCCGUCCUUUGCUUUUUUUCACAUUAUUUAAAAAAAUUGUUAGGGUAAUUAAUGUGUCUAUUUUGUGUGUUAAUAUUACCGAAUUAUCAUUUGUUUGUAUGUAUAUUAAAUUUGAUUUUUCAUAUUUCAAAACAAGUUAGUGGUACUCCCUCCGUCCCAAAUUGUAUGUCACUUUAGAAAAAAUAUUUGUCCCAAAUUGUAUGUCACUUUAGAAUACCAAUGAAACAUUAAUGUUACUUUUCCUAUUAUAUCCUUAACUAUUUAUUACUCUUUAUUUUUUCAAUUCUUUCAUUUAUCUUUCCCAUAUCAUUUAUUAAGGAUAAUUUUGUAAAACAACUCAUAAUAUCUCUUUCCCACACAAUAUUAAUUACAUUUCUUAAUAUGUGUGAAAUGCCCAAAACGUCAUACAAUUUAGGACGGAGGGAGUAUUAAUUAGAGAUGUGUUUAAGAAAAAAUAAUAAAUGUAUAUAGUAACUUGAAAAAAUAUUUAUAUUUAAAGACAAAUUUUUAAUCAAAAAUAAAUGUUUAUAUAUAGGGAUGGAGUAAUUUUGUAGGGACAAUUUGAUUUUUUUUGAUGAAAAAAAAAAAGUUUGGUUGGAUAUAUACUAUCAUCGUAGAAUAAUCAAACAAAUUUAAAUCUAAGAGUGAUUAAAGUGCAUGUUGACAAAUUUUAUAAAAACACAAACAUGUUUUUAUACGAGGAUGAUAGCAAAAAUUUAUAACCUCUCGUCUCAUUCUCAUUACCAUGUUGAACAAAUGGUUUCUCUCCCAGAAUGUUGUUUUAGGUCUCAUCACAACAAAAACAACAACCUCAAAAUUCAACAACCCUCUUUUCAACCAACACUUCUCAUUCCCAUUUUCACUCACAAGAUUCUGCACCACAACAUCUCAAUCUGAAUCAGUCACACAUCCAUUCGCUGCAUCUUAUCUCAUCAACAAUUUUGGGUUCUCACAUGAAUCUGCUCUCAAAGCUUUCAACCUCAAGCAAGUUCGUUUCAAUACCGCAGAUAAACCUGAUUCAGUCAUCACCUUCUUUCAAAAUCAUGGCUUUUCACACGACAACAUACGCAUCAUGAUCAGAAGAGCACCAUGGUUACUUUCAUCACAACCCCACAAAAGGUUUUUGCCAAAGUUUCAAUUUUUUCUAUCCAAUGCUGCUUCUUCCUCUGAUAUUGUUCCAUUGUUAACUACAAACCCUAGAAUUUUACGAAGUAGCCUGGACUUGGAGAAACAAAUAAUCCCUCUUUUUGAAUUAUUAAGUAGGUUCUUGAAAACCAACAAGGAUAUCAUUCUUUGCUUAAUUCGAUAUUGGACUGCAUUUGCUACUAAUCCCUAUCACCUUAUUGUGUCUAAUAUCAAUUUGAUGUCUGAUUUUGGAGUUUCUGAUAAUGUUAUUGGUAGUUUGCUUCAGUCAAGGCCGUCUAUAUUUGGUUCAAAGGAUUUGAUUAAGUCAUUGGAGGAAGUUAAGGAUUUAGGGUUUCAUCCUUCAAUGACUAAUUUUGGGACUGCUUUGAUGGCCAAGAAAUGUAUGAGUAAAAAACUUUGGGAUGAGAAAAUUGAUACCUUUAAGAAAUGGGGUUGGUCUGAUGAGGCUAUUAUUCGAGCAUUUAGAUGUCGGCCUGAAUUGUUGUUGGCUUCAAUUGAUAAGAUUAAUUUGGUGAUGAGUUUCUGGGUCAACCAAUUGGGUUGGAAUUCCUUGGCACUUACUAAAAGGCCACAUAUUUUUAGUUACAGUUUGGAUAAAAGGAUCACUCCAAGGGCCUCAGUUUUGCAAUUUCUUUUAAUGAAAGGUUUGCAAAAAAAGAAUGCUAGCUUAGUUACACCUUUGAGUUAUUCUGAAAAUUUGUUUUUGCAGAAGUUUGUUUUCAGCUUUAAGGUGGACUCCGAUUAUCUAUUAAAGUUAUACGAGGAAACAAUGAAAAUUGCAUACCCAAUGGAAAACAAUGGCAUGCCAUUCACUAAUUAGGUAAUUUCAUAAUCUCUUUUGCAAUGUAGCCUCAGCUUGUUAGUCAUAAAAUGCUAGUGCUUAUUCUUUUUAGGCCAAGAUAGAGGAUGAUCUAGCUGACUUGUUUUAUUUGCUAACCUGGACCAGAGUACCUUAUGAUUUAUCAUAUGCCUCAUAUCUAGUUGAUAAAGAAAAACACGAAUGGUCUUGUAUUUAUUUAGUCAGGGAAUGUUUACUCAUGGUGUUAUUUUCCUUCCAUGUUUGUUCAAUCAUGAAUCCAUAGAAAUAUAAACAAAUUAUGUAUGCAAUUCUGCUCAAUUAAAUGAUCGAAACUUUAAGCUUGAGAUUAUUCAGUACUUUGCCUAUUUGCUUUUUAUGUGGUUCUCUACACAUCAUCUUUAUAAGGAUUUUUCUAUUAUCACUCAUACAACUUUAUUAAAUAGUUUGCGACCUUCUUUAAGCUUGAAGUUGUUUCCUGAAAUGUUUAGAGAACAUUUUGAGCAUGAGGCUUCUUAUCUUUUAAAGUUGUAUGAGAAAAAACACAAUCAUGUAUACACCACGGACUAAACAUGCAUGUCAUGAUUAUAUUUUCAGGUAUUUUAGCCUUUAUAUGUUGCUGUUGUCCCUGAUUCGAAUUGAAUUCAUGUUUAGUAGUUAGUACAAAAUAUGUAGGAGCUAGAUUAACCAACUUUAUUUUGUUUUCUUAUUUGGACAAAUGUUUGAGGGGUAACCUUGGCGCAACUGGUAAAGUUGUUGUCAUGUGACUGAAAGGUCACGGGUUCAAGUCCUGGAAACAGCCUCUUGUAUAAAAAACAGGGUAAGGCUACGUACAAUACACCAAUAAUGGUGGGACCCCUUCCCGGACCCUGCGUAUGCGGGAGCUUUAGUGCACCGGGUUGCCCUUUAUUUGGACAAAUGUUUGUUUGUUGUCAUUGAUAUUUUUCAAAAUUGGGUUGUGUAUUGAUUCAUGCUCCCAACCCCACUUAGUGGGAUAAUGCUUGGUUGUUGUUGUUGUUGUGUUGUAUAUCAGUCUUCAUAAUACCAUAUAAUAUUGCUACAGGUAAAAGUUGAAAUUUUCUUGUAUUUGUAGGCAUGAAACUCUGUGUAAUGAAAGUGUAAUUAGGGUUGUGGUGCAAUUGUUAAGACUUCUCAAACUUCAAUAUUGAAUGUACAAUUGUUGUUGUUGAUUACAUUUAUUUAAUACACUUGGCAGUUAGCUUUAUGCCAAAGUUAGGUCAGGUCAUACAUAAAACUUUAUUUUGUCACAUUUUGGUUUUAUUUGCACCUUUUGGCCAACUAUUAUGGAUUAAAAUACAUUGGCAUUUUGUCAAUGUUCUGUAUUUUAUGUGAGUACAUUAUGUGUUUGACACCACACAUGCUUGAGCACCUUGUUUCUCUGGCAAAAUUUUGUAAUAUCCUUCCUAAAACCUUUACAUGAUUUGUUGAAAAUUGCAACAGUUUCAGUUUUUGCAUCUUCACACAAUCUAAUUUUGUCUUGGAUGCUUCUAGUCUUCAAUUGUUAGAGCUAAAAUGAUAACAUGUUCUUGCUGUUGAUUUAAAUUUCUUACAUUUUAUUAAUUUCUUAUUUUUUUUUAAGAGACAUCUUCAGUUGUUUUAUAUGUGCUCGGUUAUUGUAAAUGAGCUAUCCCUCUUUGCCCUCUAACUAAGCAACUUCUAUAUUAUUCUUAUCUUGUUUAUAGUUUGUGUUAGACUGUUAGUCAUGCCCUAUGCCCUCUUUUGUUGUCUUACUAAUCUUAAAAUCUAUGAUUCAUUUGUUUUUUACGACUGAAAUUCUUAGUCGAGUUUAUAAACUUGUUCUCACUUAUAUUUCAAGCUAUAAUCUUUAUCCACGGCCGUUGCAGUCGCCAUUGCUGAUUUUUUGAUCUAUUUGUAGGUACUAUGGUUGUAACAAUCAAUGUUACCUAUUGCUUUGCUACAUUGUUAUCAGUUUUCAACUACCACUUUUCCUCUAUAAUCAAGCAGCAGCUUUGCAGAAAUUAGUGUCAAGUUGUUGUAUGGCAGAGACGAGUAUCAAACGUCCGUGAUUAUAAUUUGAUGACCAUUCUUGAUUCUAAAAUCUAGCUAGGUAUUGAUUCUUUCAGCAACCAUUUUUUGCAUUGGAGCCAACUGAUAUGUUAAUUUAGAAAAUAGUUUUCACAGAAUGCUAAUAUGCCGCAUUUCCAUACACUGAAAUUUGUUGUAACUCGUAGAAAAGCGGUCACAGAUCCAACAUAAAUACUUCUUCAGUGAACCUUUAAAAUCACGGCACAAAGCCAUAUGAACGUGUGUUUUCUUAUACCACCGCCAAACUAAACAAUGACCAAGUGUAUGUUUGAUUUUGCGGUAAGAAAAAUUGAGUUUGAGUGAAUUGAUUCUUACUAAAUGUGUGUUUGGUUAUGCGGUGAAGAAAAUUGAUUUUGGUUGAAUUUAAAAGUGAGUUGAAUGAAAAGUGAUUUGUGUUUGGAUACCUUUACAAUAAAAGUGAUUUGUAUUGUUUGGGUAUUUCGUGUCAAAAUUGUUUUUGGUUGUGUAAAUGACCAAAAUAGAUUUCUCAUAUGUGUGCAUUUAAAAAAUAUUUCAUUUAUUUUAUUUGUUACAAAUUUCAUUUACAUCUUUAGUUAGUUAUUUAAUUUUAUGUUUCAUCAUUAAAUUUAUUACAAUUGUGUAAAUAUUAUUAAAAAAAACUUUAUACGAAAUUUUUUUUAUCAAAAGAACUAUCCGAGUAAUUGACUAUUAAGAUUCAUAUUAUUAUUUUAUAAAAUUUAAAAUUAUUGGGUUUUAAGGAAGGCUUUCAGAUGGGCCUCAGUGGAACAAGAAAGCACCGUUUCUUCCCAAUAACAGUGUCUUUCCUCUUCUUCAACCUUUGUCCUUGAAAUUUCUGCAACACAAAAAUAGUACCUUCACAACAACAACAAAAAAUCAUGCAUACCAGCACAAUGAGAUGGAGUAGCGGGUUUCUCAAGGGAUUUGUCAAAUUUAAAAAAGUAUAUAAAAGAAACUGAUGAGAUUUGCGAGCAAAAGAGACAAUGGGAUGAUAUGUACUUCUGCGGUGGAAAGAAUCAAUUUCAAGAAGUUAGAGAGAGCAGCUUCUUUAAAAAUAGAUUAUGAAGAGGAAAAUGUGCGACGACGGUGAAGUGUUGGUGGAGAACCAAACAAGUCGGAAUCGCGUUUGAUGGGUAGGACGUGCGUUUAACCGUUCACACCGUGUAACCAAACAGGGACUAAAAUUGAGUUGAAAAUAAAAUGAUUUAUGUUUAGAUACAUUCAUAAAUAGGGAACUUCUACGGUACACCCGCAAAUUACGGUGUAUCGAUACUCUCGCUUACAAUUUUUAUAAUUUAACUAUCAUUUUUUAUGAAGAAAAUAGGUGUUUGUUAACAUAUAUAUUUUAGAAAAUAUCAUUUUAUAAGAUAAAACAUCAUUUCAUUUUUUUUAUAAAAAUCAUACUAAAUUUUUUUUACAUUGGAAAAAAUAAUCAAAAUUCUCUAUUAUGAAUAAUAAGAAUUCAGAAAAAUCAAAUUUUAUUGCGUUGACAUUUUUGGUAAAUAAGAUUUAGUUAUUAUAAUUAUAGGUGAUAGAAAAUAAUUUUUUCCUACAAAAAAUAACUCAUUUAACUAUUAAUUUAAGGAUUUGGUGUACCAAUACAUUUAAAUUGUUGGGUGUACCAUAGAAUUUGCCUCAUAAAUAUGUGAGUUGAACAAUAAAUAUGAACCUAGAUGCGUUAAAAAAAUUGGAUUUUUUUUUUUAUGUCCAACACGCAUCAUAAAGAGACUCUCCAUCUUUUUGAUUUCGUCCUCAUUAAAAAAAUUGGAUUUUUUUUAUGUCUAAUAUGCUAUUGGUUAAAAUUCAUGAAUAAGUGUGGGUUCGAAGCUAGACCCCUAGUAAUAAUAAUACAAGAGGAAAACAAAAAAAAAAACACGUGAAAACAUUUUAAGCCUAUAUUUAUUUUUUGUGUGAAAGAUAAGCUUAUAUUCUAUUGUGUGUUGAGAACCUUACGGAUUAGAACACUUAUGUCUCAUCUCAUUCUCACUACAUUCCGAACCAUGUUGAAGAAAUGGUUUCUUUCCAACAAUGCUGUUUUAUGUUUCAUCACAACAAAAUCAACAACCCCAAAAUUCAACAACCCUCUUUUGCACCAAUUCCCAAUUUCACCCAGACGUUUCUGCACCAUAACAGCCACUUCAGAAUCAAACACACAUCCAUUCUCUGUAUCAUACCUCAUCAACAAUUUUGGAUUCUCACAUGAAUCUGCUCUCAAAGCUUUCAACAACAAGCAGGUUCGUUUCAAUACCCCAGAUAAUGCUGAUUCUGUUAUCACCUUCUUUCAAAACCAUGGUUUUCCAAACUCCAACAUACGCAUCAUCAUCCAAAAGGCACCUUGGUUACUUUCAUCACAACCCCACAAAAGGUUAUUGCCAAAGUUUCAAUUUUUUCUAUCCAAUGGUGCUUCUUUAUCUGAUAUUGUUCCAUUGUUAACUACAAACCCUCGAAUUUUACGAAGUAGCUUGGAGAAACAAAUAAUCCCUCUUUUUCAAUUAUUAAGUAGGUGCUUAAAAACCAACAGGGAUGCCAUUAUUUGCUUAAUAAAACAUUGGACUACAUUUACUAUUUAUUAUCAC